rnacentral:tRNA from 2 species
GAAAUAUUUAUGCCAAAAAAAGAAGCUUCUAACUUCAUUUUAAGCGGUUGAAUUCCGUUUAUAUUUCU